GACGAACGCUGGCGGCGUGCUUAACACAUGCAAGUCGAACGGAAAGGCCCUGCUUGCAGGGUACUCGAGUGGCGAACGGGUGAGUAACACGUGGGUGAUCUGCCCUGCACUUCGGGAUAAGCCUGGGAAACUGGGUCUAAUACCGGAUAGGAGCCAUUUUUAGUGUGAUGGUUGGAAAGUUUUUUCGGUGUAGGAUGAGCUCGCGGCCUAUCAGCUUGUUGGUGGGGUAAUGGCCUACCAAGGCGGCGACGGGUAGCCGGCCUGAGAGGGUGGACGGCCACAUGGGGGCUGAGAGACGGCCCAGACUCCUACGGGAGGCAGCAGGGGGGAAUAUUGCACAAUGGGCGCGAGCCUGAUGCAGCGACGCCGCGGGGGGGAUGACGGCCUUCGGGUUGUAAACUCCUUUCGCUAGGGACGAAGCUGUUUGUGACGGUACCUAGAUAAGAAGCACCGGCUAACUACGUG
rnacentral:rRNA from 1 species